rnacentral:rRNA from 1 species
GUAGGGCGCGAGCGUUGUCCGGAUUUAUUGGGCGUAAAGAGCUCGUAGGCGGCUUGUCGCGUCGACUGUGAAAACCCGCGGCUCAACUGCGGGCUUGCAGCCGAUACGGGCAGGCUAGAGUUCGGUAGGGGAGACUGGAAUUCCUGGUGUAGCGGUGAAAUGCGCAGAUAUCAGGAGGAACACCGGUGGCGAAGGCGGGUCUCUGGGCCGAUACUGACGCUGAGGAGCGAAAGCGUGGGGAGCGAACAGGAUUAGAUACCCUGGUAGUCCACGCUGUAAACGUUGGGCGCUAGGUGUGGGGGGCCUCUCCGGUUCUCUGUGCCGCAGCUAACGCAUUAAGCGCCCCGCCUGGGGAGUACGGCCGCAAGGCUAAA